UACGUAGGGUGCAAGCGUUGUCCGGAAUUAUUGGGCGUAAAGAGCUCGUAGGCGGUUUGGCAAGUCGGGUGUGAAAACUCCGGGCUCAACUCGGAGACGCCACUCGAUACUGCUAUGACUCGAGUCCGGUAGGGGAGCGCGGAAUUCCUGGUGUAGCGGUGAAAUGCGCAGAUAUCAGGAGGAACACCGGUGGCGAAGGCGGCACUCUGGGCCGGAACUGACGCUGAGGAGCGAAAGCGUGGGGAGCGAACAGG
rnacentral:rRNA from 1 species